AUUUAACGCUGGCGGCAGGCCUAACACAUGCAAGUCGAACGAGUGGCGGCCGGGUGAGUCAUGUCUGGGAAACUGCCCGAUGGAGGGGGAUAACUACUGGAAACGGUAGCUACUACCGCAUACCAUCGGAUGUGCCCAGAUGGGAUUAGCUAGUAGGUGGGGUAACGGCUCACCUAGGCGACGAUCCCUAGCUGGUCUGAGAGGAUGACCAGCCAAACUGUAACUGAGACACGGUCCAGACUCCUACGGGAGGCAGCAGUGGGGAAUAUUGCACAAUGGGCGCAAGCCUGAUGCAGCCAUGCCGCGUGUAUGAAGAAGGCCUUCAGGUUGUAAAGUACUUUCAGCGGGGAGGCGUUACCCGCAGAAGUAGCACCGGCUAACUCCGUGCCAGCAGCCGCGGUAAUUC
rnacentral:rRNA from 1 species